rnacentral:rRNA from 1 species
CUACGGGAGGCAGCAGUGAGGAAUAUUGGACAAUGGGCGAGAGCCUGAUCCAGCCAUGCCGCGUGCAGGAAGACUGCCCUAUGGGUUGUAAACUGCUUUUAUACGGGGAGAUACACCCCCACGUGUGGGGGUUUGACGGUACCGUACGAAUAAGGAUCGGCUAACUCCGUGCCAGCAGCCGCGGUAAUACGGAGGAUCCAAGCGUUAUCCGGAAUCAUUGGGUUUAAAGGGUCCGUAGGCGGGAGAGUCAGUCAGUGGUGAAAGUCUGCAGCUUAACUGUAGAACUGCCAUUGAUACUGCUUUCCUUGAGUUAUUAUGAAGUGGUAGAAUAUGUAGUGUAGCGGUGAAUGCAUAGAUAUACAUAGAAUACCGAUUGCGAAGGCAGAUCACUAAUAAUUUACUGACGCUGAUGGACGAAGCGUAGGUAGCGAACAGGAUAGAUACCUGGUAGUCUACGCCGUAAACGAUGGUACUAGCU